rnacentral:rRNA from 1 species
GACGAACGCUGGCGGCGUGCUUAACACAUGCAAGUCGAACGGGAUGGCGAACGGGUGAGUAACACGUGAGUAACCUGCCUUUUUCUUUGGGAUAACGCUCAGAAAUGGGUGCUAAUAGUGGAUGGAGGGAGAUGGGCUCGCGGCUUAUCAGCUUGGUGGUGGGGUGAUGGCUUACCAAGGCUUUGCCGGGUAGCCGGCGUGAGAGGGUGUGCGGUCACAGUGGGACGGAGAUACGGCCCAGGGUACUAAGGGGGGCGGCAGUGGGGAAUAUUGCACAAUGGGGGGAACCUUAAUGCAGCGACGCCGCGUGAGGGAUGGGGGUCUUCGGGUUGUGAACCUCUUGCGCUCGUGUGCGUGUAGCGGGUAAAGAAGCGCCGGCUAACUACGUGCCAGCAGCCGCGGUAAUUC